UUUGACUUUUGUCGACCUUAGGAAGCCUUAAGCCUCUCCCAACUCACCUUCACCUUCUCCAUAUCUUGGUAAACAAAGUCGGGACCAAACAUAUCCGCCUCACUGAGCUCAAACCAACGAAUAGGAGACCUACAACUCCUACCAUACAAUGCCUCAAAAGGGGUUAUACCAAUACUAAGAGGAUAGCUAUUAUUGUAAACAAACUCACCAAAGGUAGAUGCUCAACCCAAUUGCCACCA
rnacentral:lncRNA from 1 species